rnacentral:rRNA from 1 species
UACAGAGGGUGCAAACGUUGUUCGGAAUUACUGGGCGUAAAGCGCGUGUAGGCGGCUUGGCAAGUCGGGUGUGAAAGCCUUGGGCUCAACCCAGGAAGUGCACUCGAAACUGCUUCGCUCGAGUAUCGGAGAGGAAAGCGGAAUUCUCGGUGUAGAGGUGAAAUUCGUAGAUAUCGAGAGGAACACCGGUGGCGAAGGCGGCUUUCUGGACCAGUACCGACGUUCAGGCACGAAAGCGUGGGGAGCAAACAGG